UACAGAGGCCUCGAGCGUUAGGCGGAAUCACUGGGCUUAAAGCGUGUGUAGGCGGACUUCUAAGUGCCUUGUGAAAUCCCACGGCUCACCCGUGGAACGGCUGGGCAUACUGGGAGUCUUGAGCCACCUAGGGGCAAGUGGAACAAACGGUGGAGCGGUGAAAUGCGUAGAUAUCGUUUGGAACGCCAAUGGUGAAAACAACUUGCUGGGGGUGUGCUGACGCUGAGACACGAAAGCCAGGGGAGCAAACGGG
rnacentral:rRNA from 1 species